rnacentral:rRNA from 1 species
CCCGUCCUGAAGCACGGACCAAGGAGUCUAACAUGUACGCGAGUGAUUGAGAACGUAACCUCAAACGCGUAAUGAAAGUGAAGAGUCGUUUUACACGGCUUGAGGAGAGAUCAUGUCAUUAUUUGGAAUUCCGAAAGGUUUUCUGGAUAGAUGUAUGCGCACCUCCUGGACGUCUAUACCACUGAUGGUUGGGCGUACCUAGAGCGUACAUGCUGGGACCCGAAAGAUGGUGAACUAUGCCUGGUCAGAACGAAGCCAGGGGAAACUCUGGUGGAGGUUCGUAGCGAUUCUGACGUGCAAAUCGAUCGUCGGAACUGGGUAUAGGGGCGAAAGACUAAUCGAACCAUCUAGUAGCUGGUUCCCUCCGAAGUUUCCCUCAGGAUAGCUGGCGCUUUUAUUACCAGUCUCAUCCGGUAAAGCGAAUGAUUAGAGGCCUUGGGGCCGAAACGACCUCAACCUAUUCUCAAACUUUAAAUGGGUGAGUUAUUAAGCUUGCUUGAUCGAAGCUUAUAUUUUUGGAUGGUGAGUGCCAAGUGGGCCACUCUUGGUAAGCAGAACUGGCGCUGUGGGAGU